rnacentral:misc_RNA from 1 species
AUGCAACCAAUAAGGAAAAGCUAAUGAAUAAAGAAUACUCCCCUUUGAAGUGUUCCUUUCAUCGAAGAUUUGUAUGCUUGAUCUCCGUUGCUCCUUUCAAGUGUUUCUUAAACCUACGAAGUGAACAAUCAUCAAAACAAGUUUAGGAGAAUGAUAAAACAAAAGAAAUGAAAAAAAAAUUAAAAUUAAAAAUAAAAACUUGGGUUGCCUCCCAAUAAGCGCUAAUUUAAGGUUAUUAGCUAGAACUUUUUUAAAAGUGCUAAUAAAAAAGUGGCUUUCACACAUAGUAGUUGUCAUAUAACACCACUAUGGGUCUUAUUUUAUGAUACCCUUAAGAUUGGCAAGAUUUGAACUAAGUUUUCAUGUAGAACAAACAAUACUUGGCUUGGAAUGAUAUACUUGGAAUGAGGUUUGCUUUAGCUCAUAGAGGACAUAUGAUGAUGUAGGAGGUGUCCAUGA